rnacentral:lncRNA from 1 species
CUGCACCACCGAAAUCCAUCAGUGGUAUCAGAGCCUACCAUGAUCUAUAUAAUCAAAGGUUAGAAUGUUGUCUUGAUUGUGAUCAAACAUAGAUUUUUGGUUUGGUUCAAGUCGGAUCAAGGGUUGAACCCGAUUAAACAUCCAAACCCUCGCAUGUCUUAAAGAUAUAUUUUUAAAUAUAAAAUGCAUGAUGCAUGUAUAAAAUCUUUUUUAGUAGCCUAGUACUCUAUUGGGUUCAUAACCAGACCGUC